AUGGAGAAGCUAAUGAACCCAAAGCUAAAUCAUUCAGAUCCUGCAAACCAACUAAUCUUACAGGAAAGUAAUGUUGGCUUCAGUUUAUUGAAUGCUUCCUUGGUCAAAAUGCCCGUAUUCAAGGAAAAACAAUGGAUUUUAAUCAUUGCUAACUUUAGAGCCAAAUUUUUUGUUAUCAUGAACCCGCACUACAGUGGUGAUACAUUUCUACCAACAAUUAGUGCUGUUAUCUACAACUUCAAGGUUUUGUUUGCUGCUACAUACGAAAAUUCUAGUUCUUUCAACAUAGGAAAUUUUCAAUCAAGAUUUGUACCAGCUCCCAAGGUCAAAUUCAGGUGGGUUUUCCAUGGAACUCUCCCCUUUUACAAGAUUUGUACCAGCCACUAG
rnacentral:rRNA from 1 species